AGCUCUGGUGGUGUAGUGGUUACAUGUCCUCUUUAAUUGGCUACUAAUGAUUCAGUGUUAUGAGGAAGUGCCUUGUUCGAUUCGGGGUCAGGCUA